rnacentral:sRNA from 1 species
UUGACAGCCCUGGGAGACUGAAGUCCUCUGUUUAUCCACAGAACAAAUACAACAUGGGCAGUAAAAAUGCAAGCUUCCACAAACUGCCCUACCAAUGUGUGUCAUCCCUCAUCUGCAUUGCUAGUGGGAAUGUUUGGGGAGUGGGAGGGUAUUUUAGUUUCCAUGGCCAUUCAAUCUGUGGCCUUU